rnacentral:tRNA from 1 species
GCCUUCUUAGCUCAGUGGUAGAGCGUUGGUCUCGUAAGUAAACGAAGAUAACCAAAGGCCGAGAGUUCAAUCCUCUCAGAAGGCA